rnacentral:rRNA from 1 species
UGGAUCACGGCGGUGUACGCUCCCCAAGGAGACAUGCCUAAAACUUAGUUCUUGCAGGAGCUUGGCAACCGGCGCUCGGUCUGUCCUGGGCCGUGGCUCAUUAUGGGAGACUUUAACAUGAUUUUGCGUGCAUGCAAGAAGAACAAUGCAAACAUCAAUAGGGCUAUGAUGUCGAAGUUUCAGAGCUUUGUCGAUGAUCAUGAACUAAAGGAGCUCUACAUGCACGGCCGCAUGUACACUUGGUCGAAUGAGAGGGAUACACCGACUCUAACCAAGAUUGACAGAAUCCUCGUGUCGGUUGACUGGGACCUGGGUCAUCCCGACAAGAUGCUUCAAGCGCUGUCAUCGAGCGUCUCCGACCACGCGCCUUUGCAUCUAACCACUAGUAUGCACUGUUGCCCAAAGAAUAGAUUUAGAUUCGAGCUUUAG